rnacentral:rRNA from 1 species
GAUGAACGCUGGCGGCGUGCCUAAUACAUGCAAGUCGAGCGAACAGACGAGGAGCUUGCUCCUUCGACGUUAGCGGCGGACGGGUGAGUAACACGUAGGUAACCUACUUAUAAGACUGGGAUAACUUCGGGAAACCGGAGCUAAUACCGGAUAAUAUUUUGAACCGUAUUGUUCGAUAGUGAAAGAUGGCUUUGCUAUCACUUAUAGAUGGACCUGCGCCGUAUUAGCUAGUUGGUAAGGUAACGGCUUACCAAGGCAACGAUACGUAGCCGACCUGAGAGGGUGAUCGGCCACACUGGAACUGGGCCGCGGUCCAGACUCCUACGAGAGGCAGCAGUAGGGAAUCUUCCGCAAUGGGUGAAAGCCUGACAGAGCGACGCCGCGUGAGUGAUGAAGAUCUUCGGAUCGUAAAACUCUGUUAUUAGGGAAAAACAAACGUGUAAGUAACUGAGCACGUCUUGACGGUACCUAAUCAGAAAGCCACGGCUAACUACGUG